GAUCAUGGCUCAGGAUGAACGCUAGCUACAGGCUUAACACAUGCAAGUCGGAGGGGCAUCAGUUUGGUUUGCUUGCAAACCAAAGCUGGCGACCGGCGCACGGGUGAGUAACACGUAUCCAACCUGCCUCAUACGUCGGGGAUAGCCUUUCGAAAGAAAGAUUAAUAUCCGAUAGCAUAUAUUUCCCGCAUGGGUUUUAUAUUAAAGAAAUUCGGUAUGAGAUGGGGAUGCGUUCCAUUAGUUUUG
rnacentral:rRNA from 1 species